GGGGAUUUAGCUCAGUGGUAGAGCACUUGCCUAGCACGCGCAAGGCCCUGGGUUCAGUCCCCA
rnacentral:tRNA from 1 species